AGAACGAACGCUGGCGGCAGGCCUAACACAUGCAAGUCGAACGCCCCGCAAGGGGAGUGGCAGACGGGUGAGUAACACGUGGGAACAUGCCCUUUGGUUUGGGAUAACUCAGGGAAACUUGAGCUAAUACCGGAUAAGCCCGAGAGGGGAAAGAUUUAUCGCCGAAGGAUCGGCCCGCGUCCGAUUAGCUAGUUGGUGAGGUAAUGGCUCACCAAGGCGACGAUCGGUAGCUGGUCUGAGGGGAUGAUCAGCCACACUGGGACUGAGACACGGCCCAGACUCCUACGGGAGGCAGCAGUGGGGAAUAUUGGACAAUGGGCGCAAGCCUGAUCCGAGCCAUGCCGCGUGAGUGAUGGAACGGCCCGUAGGGUUGUAAACGCCCUUUACGCCGUAGGGACGUAGUAAAGUGACGGUACCUGGAGUAAGAACGCCCGGUACUAACCGUUCCGCCGCCACGCACGGCCGCGGUUAACUCCGUA
rnacentral:rRNA from 1 species